rnacentral:miRNA from 1 species
GUAAUUUGCCGAGGACGAAAU